UACUACGGGAGGCAGCAGUGGGGAAUCUUGGACAAUGGGGGCAACCCUGAUCCAGCCAUGCCGCGUGAGUGAUGAAGGCCUUAGGGUCGUAAAGCUCUUUCGCCUGUGAAGAUAAUGACGGUAGCAGGUAAAGAAACCCCGGCUAACUCCGUGCCAGCAGCCGCGGUAAUACGGAGGGGGUUAGCGUUGUUCGGAAUUACUGGGCGUAAAGCGCACGUAGGCGGAUCGGAAAGUUGGGGGUGAAAUCCCGGGGCUCAACCCCGGAACUGCCUCCAAAACUAUCGGUCUAGAGUUCGAGAGAGGUGAGUGGAAUUCCGAGUGUAGAGGUGAAAUUCGUAGAUAUUCGGAGGAACACCAGUGGCGAAGGCGGCUCACUGGCUCGAUACUGACCCUGAGGUGCGAAAGUGUGGGGAGCAAACCGGAUUAGAUACCCUGGUAGUCCACACCGUAAACGAUGAAUGCCAGUCCUCCGGUAGCAUGUUAUUUUGUGACACACCUAACGGAUUAAGCAUUCCCCCU
rnacentral:rRNA from 1 species